rnacentral:rRNA from 1 species
ACUGAACGCUGGCGGAAUGCCUAACACAUGCAAGUCGAGCGGGGUGUAGCAAUACACCUAGCGGCGGACGGGUGAGGAAUACAUAGGAAUCUACCUUUAAGUGGGGGGAUAGCCCGGGGAAACCCGGAUUAAUACCGCAUGAUCUCGCAAGAGCAAAGCGGGGGACCGUAAGGCCUCGCGCUGAAAGAUGAGCCUAUGUCGGAUUAGCUAGUUGGCGGGGUAAAGGCCCACCAAGGCGACGAUCCGUAGCUGGUCUGAGAGGACGAUCAGCCACACCGGAACUGAGACACGGUCCGGACUCCUACGGGAGGCAGCAGUGGGGAAUAUUGGACAAUGGGCGCAAGCCUGAUCCAGCAAUUCCGCGUGUGUG